GAAAAAUAAGAGACCCAGAAUAGCUAAAGCAAUCCUUAGCAGGAAAAGUGAAGCAGGUAGCAUCGCUAUACCAGACCUUAAACUAUACUUAUAGAGCAAUAGUAACAAAAACAGCAUGGUAUUGGCACCAAAACAGAAUGGUAGACCAAUGGUACAGAAUAGAGGACACAGAGACUAACCCACAAAAAUACAAUUAUAUUAGAGAUGCCAAAAACAUGCACUGGAGAAAAGAUAGCCUCUUCAACAAAUGGUGCUGGGAAAACUGGAAAUCCAUAUGCAACAAAAUGAAAUUAAACCCCUGUCUCUCACCAUGCACAAAACUUAUCCCAAAAUGGAUCAAGGAACUAGGAAUUAAACCAGAAACUCUGCAUCUAAUAGAAGAAAAAGUAGGCCCUAAUCUUCAUCAUGUGGGAUUAGGCCCCAACUUCCUUAAUAAGACUCCUAUAGCUGUAAUGUUAAGUCAUUUAUUUGUUGACUUUUUUCUUCUUUUAAGGAAUGAACUUCAUGCAAUUAACUUUCCUCUUAGUACUGCCUUCAUAGUGUCCCAGAGAUUUCAGUACGUUGUAUUUGAUUUCUCAUUCACCUCUA
rnacentral:lncRNA from 1 species